UACAGAGGGUGCAAGCGUUGUUCGGAAUUACUGGGCGUAAAGGGCUCGUAGGCGGCCAACUAAGUCAGACGUGAAAUCCCUCGGCUUAACCGGGGAACUGCGUCUGAUACUGGAUGGCUAGAGGUUGGGAGAGGGAUGCGGAAUUCCAGGUGUAGCGGUGAAAUGCGUAGAUAUCUGGAGGAACACCGGUGGCGAAGGCGGCAUCCUGGACCAAUUCUGACGCUGAGGAGCGAAAGCCAGGGGAGCAAACGGG
rnacentral:rRNA from 1 species